UGUGAUGAUAUUACACGAGUAAUAUUAAGUAAUUAAACAUAGCAUAGUUGUGCGCUUGUGUCGCUUGUGAUGUUUUUAUAUUUAUGCGUUGAUACGCGUGUGUAUGCACAUUAUAAUAUACACAUUAUACUGUUCAAGACUUCAAUCUGUUUUGAUAAUGCCUGAAGUUUAGAGAACCAAAAGUGGAAGAUGUCUGAAUGCGUAGAGAGAGGGAGGGAGAGAGAGAGACACACACUCAGCGUUGACAGUCGAAAAGGAUAUUUCGUAACUCGUCAUCAUCAAAUGUAUUUAACGUCCAGUAUAGGUUACAUGAUGAAUUUGUACACAAUAUAUUUAUUUACAACGAAACAGGCCGAAACCAAAUGAAACAAUAAGAUGUGUAUAUCAAAGUAGAUCAAUAGUACCUAUCUCGACUAUAAUCAUAUAUCCAGCUGAAGAAAUCAGGCGCGGAUACAAGGGGGGGCAUGGGAGCAAUGCCCCUUCCCAAAAUUUAAAAAAAAAAGAGGCUUGCGAAAAAAAUUAUAUGAUUUAUUAUAGAAUAAAUCCAUUCUAUAAUUAAUGAAAAUACUAUAUUAUUUCACAUUAAAUUAUUCUUAGGCUCUAGUAAUAUUUAGCUCAAAUGUAGAAAAAGUAAUGUAAUUAAAUAUUUUAUAAGCAAUAAAAUGAGAUGUAAGAUUG